rnacentral:rRNA from 1 species
AUGGCCCCCGCCGCUGCUUCGGGAGAGAUCACGGUCUCGCAUCGCCUUGCGCUUGUCAUCCUCGUCGCUCCAUGGCACUACGUUGCUAGAGCUUCCGGCCUCCAUGUCGUGCGCAAGGUUGCGGUGACGACAGGCGUCUCCACCAGCACCACGACGGGUGUGGCCUCUGCACGCGCCGUCACCUCCCCUCCAGAUCCGGACGUCGUCGAGGGCAUGUCCAUCCAGCAGUGCGCCGUCACCUCCCCUCCAGAUCCAGCCGUCGUCAAGGGCGUAUCCAUCCAGCAGCGCGCCGUCAUCCCAAUCAUCACCGUCCAUGGCGUCAUCGCCCAGGCCCAGUCAGGGGCCGGCAAGACCUCCAUGAUCUCCCUCUUCGUCUGCCAAGUCAUUGAGACCAACGUCCACGAGUGAUUUCCGCAUAGCUUUUGUGUAUGACGGCUGGAGGACCAACUCAGACCUCGCUUGCCCCAGGGUCAGGAGGUCCAAGGCGCCACAACCAACUGCCUCUGCAUCCAUAUGCUGGCAAUUUACUUUGAUUUUCAGUGUGGUAAUCUACAGCAAUCAAGUUAACAAAUCUGAAGCAUUUUAGCAAGGCAACGGUGCAAGUGCUCUUUUGGUGGAAGAUGAAGCUUUUGUUGGGCUUGUGAUGUUUUUCUGAAGAAGACUGACGAUGAACUCAAAAGACAAAUAACAUGCGGUUGCUACUACGGGAAUACCUGAUGUUGCUUCAUGUCAGUUAUAUCUUCCAAUAUUUACAGAAACUUCCAAAACUGGCACCAGGUCAGGACAUGCUGAUGAUAACCUUCUAGUUUUGCUAAAUCAUAGUUACUUGAGUAAUCUCUACUCCUAAAGUGUUCUUCGAAGGUGCUCAUCAAAUCUGUUGAUACACAACACCGCAGUUAUUGGUGGUUUACACUGGAUAGUUUCCAGACCUUUAUCGCAAGAUGGACGAACUUGGCAUCUCAGCCAGUACUCUGCCUCAUCAACAGUUUGAUGUCCCUUUGCAUGAAGUUAGGCCAGCAUUAGAAUAUCCGUAGCCUUUUUUAGGAGAUGAAGGUGAAGAAUAUUAAGCCGGAUAACCUCACAUGUUUCCUUCUAAUGACCAGCCAUGCGGCAUUGAACAAGAUAGAUGUUGUUGGAGAAGUUUUAGAAGAAAUGCAAGAAAAUGAUGUAGUUCUAGGGUGGUAUGCAUAUAGCAUGGUUUCUAUCUACCUGAGUGCUGGUUUGGUUUUAAAAAACAGUCUGCUCUCAAGAAACUCGAGGGCCUUGAUUUUAGAAGGUAACAUAAAUAUCUAGAUUGAUCGUUCAUGGUUCUGGGGCUCCUUGUUACAGUUCAGGCAAGAGUUUAGUCCAUAAUACUCAAUUUCAUCCUAAAGUGCGUGCCCCCUGACCCGUGGGACGACGGCACGGAGGCAAUCGCAUAACCCAGCGGCAGGGCGUGGCGGCGUUGUGGCCAGUGAGGAGCGCCGUUAGGGCGUGCCCUGAAUCGAGAGGAACAAGUAUGUUCACUUUCUGUUCGCUUUGUGUUUGCUUUCUGUAGUCUCAAAGCAGAGCAAUGGUCACUGCAAAUUUUAUCAGAGAAUGUGCAACAAAAGCACGUUGAGAAGUUCCUGUGAGCCCUAAUUAUUUCUUGAGAAAGCAAACUUAUUGAUCCUUGCUCUAUUUUUUGUGUACUAAGAUUGUUCGUUUGUACCCAGCAUGUGUAUGUGAUGUGCCCUGCCGCUGUGUGUGCUUCCUGCUAAUGUGUGUGCUUCCUGACGCUGUUGAGCAUGCGUGUGUGUGUUCGCUGUCGCUGUUUAUUAACAUUGUCAUGCUCUCCUUACUUUUUGCUUAACAAUUCAUGAUCAAUACUGAACAUUAUUUUUUGAAUAGAUGCCACUUGAACUUAGUUUUAGCUCUCAUGUUGGUCAAUAAAUCAUCAAGUAAUGUUUUGCAUGGAUUUUAUAACUGACACAAUGUUUCUGAUUUAAUGAGAGCCAACCAUGCGUUCCUGGCUUCCCCAGCGAUGCCAACAUGGCAGGGCAGGACCCAGUGGCCAUCUUCGGCGCCUUCAUGGACUUCGUCAGCGCCGACCUCUGCUUCAUCAUCUACGGCCACAACCCCUUUGUCGUCGGCAUCAUCUGGCACCUCAGAAUGCAAAUUAAAUGUGUUCAUAGAGUGGGGUGUAAUUGUGAUUUGUGCAAUGGGUUCAGAGUGGAAGGGGUUGUCAUUCUUGUUUAGCAGGGGCUGCAAGUUCUAUCGCUAUAAGCCUGACUUGCAGCGGCAACAACAGAUUCAGAUGUGGUUUGCGAUCGCAUGUAUGGUCGGGACUGCAUGGGUCCGGCGACCAAUUGCUUGCAUCUCUUGCUGUAUGGUGAUGAUGACCGGCUCUUGUUAAAUCCAAUACGACUGCACUUCUUCGCUUCAGGAAGAAGGUAUCCCCCCUAUACGAAGAUUUCUAGCUUGCCUAUGUGUUGAUAAGUGCAUUCGGCCAAACAAUUUGUGGACCAAAUAAACUUGUUGCAGAUACAGAAGAACAAGGCUGCACACAAGGAGUUGCCUGAAUUGCAGUGGCAGCGGUGUUGUAAUAUGAAUCAAGCUUGUGAAGAAAAUUUUUGUUACUUUAAUGACACACACUUGCAUUGUCAACAAUGUCCGUUUUGCUGAAUGUACUUGCUUAUCCUUCUACUGGACUACCAUUGGUUCACUGUUUCCACAUCCCACAUCGAACCUUCCAGACUCAUCCAAGUGACCAUUUGCAACAUCCUUUUCUGGACAAUCUGGAUUAGUUCAAGGUUUUCAUCACUCUGGUCUGCACAACAUUCAUGGAAAUUAUAGUCUUCCAAAAUAUUCCUGGAUCACUUGCAAAAAGGAAUGUUGUGAAGAGUAGCGUUCCAUCAUCUGGGGUCCAACAACCCAGAGGGAGCAUUUCUGGGAGAUUUGCUGCAAACAACCUUCCUGUUGUCAUUCUCAGAUUCCUCAUGCACAUUUAGGUGUCAGUGGUAGAGUAAUGAAUGUUGGUGGAGGUCAAGCAUUUAGAAGUGGAAUGAAUAUGGGUGGUACCAUUCAAGGUUUAUCCUCAAACUUGGGCACCAGUGGUAAUCGAAAUUAUGUUCCUGGAAACCCAGCUUUGGGUCCACGUAUUACAAACAUUGUGAGCAGAAGUAACAUUGGAAUAAAUAUAAGCUCUGGUGGGUUGUCGGUGCCGAUUAUCUCAUCACACAUCGAUUUUAGGGUCAAUGCUGCAAGUGGAAGACUAAAUGUGCAAGGAUCCAACAGGAUGAUGCAUGGCCUUAUUCUGCAAGGUAUGCCUGAUGGAGCGAUUGGGUUGAUGCUGAUGCUGAUAUACUUCCCUAAGUUGCUCCAAUCAGGAAUGCAGAUAUACUUCCAUGUUCUCUCGCUGUGGAUUGGUAAAAAGACUUAACUCUUAAUCAGGGCGCGCGAUUUUGAUGAAGGUUGUAAAACAUUUUCAUUAGGCAUCAAUUUUAUUGCUGGUGUUUGUCUGGCUGUAAAAUCUGCUCAAUAUGUAUAUUUUCCUUUUGUCUGUGUCCCUUUUCCGAUAUAAUACUGAACCUUUUGGAAUAUCUCUGUAUACAAAAAAAAUGUGUUCUGUCUGCCGAUUGAAAUGGACCUAAAUAUGAAUACGAACCAGUAAUUGUUUUGUGUUUUUAUCACCAUGUACAUCAAUAAAUUUGCCGCCGCUG